GCGACCCCCAGGUCAGGCGGG
rnacentral:rRNA from 3 species